GUUGACCCAAAAGGAUGGAUCCAGGUCCAAAGGGACACGGCCCCGGUGGAGGGCAUCCACCUGGUCAUGGCCCUGACAAACACACACCUGGUCCUGGAGGGCACCCCCC